rnacentral:lncRNA from 10 species
GCAGUGAGCCAUGAUUGAGUCACUGCAUUCCAGCCUGGGAGACAGAGCAAGACCCCGUCUAGAAAAAUAAGGACGAAGUGGAAAGGAAGGUGCAAUACAAUCACUUGUGGAUUCAGGAUCUGCAUACCUGACCGGCAGACCUGCUUGCUGGCUUGGAACCUCCUGAAGUUCAUGACUGUCUAAUGAAUUCUGAAUCAGCCAUCCUCUGCAAUUUCCUUGCUAUGUCGGAGUCAGCGAGAUUCUAUUACCUGCUCUGGGCCUUAGGUUUCAUGCCUGCAAAAUGGGCCGAGUGAAAUAGAUCUGUGUUUGCCUAACUGGAGUUGUUCCUGUUCUAUCUUUAUGAUUUUUGCCAUAUCGUCUAUAUUAUUUAGCAUUUUUAUAUCUGUACCAUCUAUAUUAUUUACUUAACAUUUUUCUUGCAUCGGUUCACUUAUUUUUAGCUAUAUAAAUAUUAUUUCAAAAGGAAACCUUAUGUCAAUACAUAAGCAGAAAACCUAUACCUCUUGCCAUAAAUGGGAG